rnacentral:rRNA from 1 species
GACGAACGCUGGCGGCGUGCUUAACACAUGCAAGUCGAACGGUGAAGCCCUUCGGGGUGGAUCAGUGGCGAACGGGUGAGUAACACGUGAGCAACCUGCCCCUGACUCUGGGAUAACUACCGGAAACGGUGGCUAAUACCGGAUAUGACGCCCUGUCGCAUGGUGGGGUGUGGAAAGUUUUUCGGUCAGGGAUGGGCUCGCGGCCUAUCAGCUUGUUGGUGGGGUGAUGGCCUACCAAGGCGACGACGGGUAGCCGGCCUGAGAGGGCGACCGGCCACACUGGGACUGAGACACGGCCCAGACUCCUACGGGAGGCAGCAGUGGGGAAUAUUGCGCAAUGGGCGAAAGCCUGACGCAGCGACGCCGCGUGAGGGAUGAAGGCCUUCGGGUUGUAAACCUCUUUCAGCAGGGAAGAAGCGAAAGUGACGGUACCUGCAGAAGAAGCACCGGCUAACUACGUGCCAGCAGCCGCA